rnacentral:lncRNA from 1 species
CUGAGUCAUGUGUUCAACCUCAAGCCAAUCACUGUAGUCAGGGGAGCAGAGUUCUCUGGCCAUGCCUCCCUGAUGGGAGUCCACCUGAACCGUGGACUGAGAAUGAAAAGGGUGAUUUCUCACAGAGAUACUGGACAGUCAAAACAUGUCCAUCACAGCUUCUUCUUUCUUUCUCUAUGGACCAGUUUUCUGUGUUUUCAGUCAGUAUGGUAGAAGAAAUAUUGCUAUGCCCAGCUCAAGUUUUACUUUCUCUCUAUUCAAGAACACUAGAAGUCCCUGGGAGACUCUGACUAGUGAAGCUCAUACAACUAACUGUGAUGGUGGAGAUGAGGAUAGUCUUAAAGGUAACACGGUUGCAACAGACUCAUCUAUGCGAAUAUAAAGACUCUUCCUUCUGCAGCAAGUAGAAGGCAUGACUGAAGCAACUCAAGUCUACAUCAUCCCAGCUUCGCAAUCUCCCAAGAGAACAAGAGCCCCAGUUGGCCAACAUCUGAACAUAAAUUCUCAUCAGUCCACCUUCAUAAGCAGACGGGGAGGGUCUCCAGGGAUAACAGGAAUUUAACCAACUUCAGCAAUGAGCCUGGUUUACAGCCUCCUGCCCUGCAGCCUGUUCUUCCACAAACCCUGGGUAAAAUGCAGUCACCUUGUUGGUUUAAACCAGCUCUUGACAGACCCCCGGCAACAUACAGAUGAACGCAAGUGAACUUUCUCAUGACCACGCUAAAGUCUCCACCCUGGGCAACCUGUAGCUUCAUUACCAUGACAUGCAACCUAUGCGCUGACGUAAUGACUCACUGCAUCUGUGCAACUAGACCUCUCCUCGUCAUGCAAUGAUGCUCCCUGUCUCCUCUCCAUUGCGCCAUAAAACCCUCCUGUCACUUUCCCUCGGAAAGACACUGCUUUGGAGAAUACCCCCAGUGUCACCCUUACUUGAGUUAAAUAAAACUCCUAUUGAUCAAAGACAGUGUUCUUGUGGAGAGUCCUUUGUUAUUCAUGAGGUGAGUGAACCCUGGUAUUUUGGGGGUAACAAAUCUGGUACCCCAGGUGGGACUGUGGACCAAGCUCUGACUCAGUCUCCCUUAUAGGCUUCCAAUCAGGUGAAGCCACAACCUGUGGACACUUGGGCUAACUCACCUAAGUUGCUGAGAGGGAAACUGGAGAAGGGCCUCAGGACACUCCUGUCUGGUGUCUGGUCAACCCACAGGUGCCACAGGACCUCCCAGGGAGAGCAGAGAUGGCCACUUGGACCUUUUCAUUCAGCGCUUUUUUUUUUUUUUUUUUUUGAGAUGGAGUCUUGCUCUGUCACCCAGGCUGGAGUGCAGUGGCGCGAUCUCAGCUCACUGCAAGCUCCAUCUCCCAGGUUCGCGCCAUUCUCCUGCCUCAACUUCCCGAGUAGCUGGGACUACAGGUGCCCGCCACUAUGCCCAGCUAAUUUUUUUGUACUUUAGUAGAGACAGGGUUUCACCAUGUUAGCCAGGAUGGUCUCGAUCUCCUGACCUCGAGAUCCGCCACCUCGGCCUCCCAAAGUGCUGGGAUUACAGGUGUGAGCCACCGUGCCCAGCAGUUCAGCGUUCUUUUGCAGCGGUAAGUGGUGGCAGUUUUGUGAACUGACUUAAAAGAGUAAUUUCGGUUUUGAUCAUUAGGACUCUGGGUUGUCAGGGUUAGGACCUAGGUCAAGGGAUUCAGGGUUGUUGGGAAAAGGGAGGACUCCCCUUCAGGUCUGGGAGAUUGAGAGACAUCUCCAUCCAUUUUAACAAGGGGAACUCCCAACAUAAAGACAAGGACUGUCAUCUUCAGGAUUUCAUCCCGUCUUGUAUAUCCGUAGGACUGAAUAUUUGUUCAUCUUUGUCAGUGUUUGUUUGUCUUUGUCUGUGACCUGAAUGACUGUGAAGCCUGGAUUCCCCUCCCCUUAGUCUGUAGCAACCCCUAAAAUAUUGAGCUUCCAUUUGCAGCAGUCACAAGAGAACUGUUAUUGGUUUGCCAAGGAGACCCAUUUUUGAAGGAGGCAGUUUUGUGGGGUCCUGAUCCUUGGAACUAGAAUGCAGUGACACAAAGGAUAGGUGAACAGAGAGAGACAGUGUGUGUGCCUUCUCCUGAGGGAAUAUCUCGCUUACCUGAUUGAUUUACCUACCUCCCCACCAUGCAAGCCCAGCCCAGAACUACUCCAGUGGCUUUGUGAGAUCUCCUGGGAAGCCUCCCAGACCAAACAGUCCAGGAAGAGGCAAUCCCUGUUAUCCUCUCAUAGCUUCCCGGGACCUCUACUCUAGGGUGGCCUAGGUGUGGUAGCAAGCAAGGAAGGCAGAAAUAUUCUGCGGGCUAAAAGUUGCAGGAUUUGUGUCACCACUAACCCUCAAUAGAAGUAUCUUGGAGCGUGGAAUCAGACUCUUUGCAAAGACCCUAGAAUAUGGGGAACCAGGUCUCAAUACCUAAAGAGAGCCCACUAAGGUACUUCCUCUGACAUUGGAAACUGUUUGGGUAUCUACCCAUGACCAAAAUGCAAAUGAUAUAUUAAUGUAAUGCAGCAUGGCCCCACUACUCCCUAAGAGAUUAGGAGAGAUGGGCUGAACAUGGAUCGCUCACUUAUGAUGUAAUUUUCCAAUCGGAUUUAUUUUGCAAGAAACAAGGCAAGUAGGAUGAAAUGCCCUUUGUACAAUGUUUAUGGCCUUCUAUAUAAACCCAGCCCUGCAGAAGAAAUAUGAGGCAUGGAAAUUGGCCAAAGGGCCAAAGAGAACUAUGUUGCCAAUUCUAGGCACCCCUGGAGAGGAAAAAACAGUCAUGUGGGGACCUGUAGGGAAGGUAACAGGAAGAAGGAAUGUCUCUACUUCCCUCCAAGAGAAGAAGCGAGGCCCUCUAACCCCACUCAAGGACUGGAACUUUUGCCAAUAGAGAGAAGAAAUAGUCCCCCUUCUUCCUCAGGAAUUGAAUGCUCAGUGGCUCCACAGGAAAGCAAGCAUCCUCCUCCAUACUUGCUGUA